rnacentral:rRNA from 1 species
CAGUCGUACCGGCGGGUAAUCAGCCUUUCGGGUGCAAUUCUGUGGAGUGUGAGGAGCUUAACACCUUCAUGCUUUGCAUAUUUGUUCUCUUGGGUGUACUUGCCCGUGUGGUUGGUUAACAUCAAUUUUGGUUAUCAUAUAAUGAUUGGAGGAAUGUAGCUUCGAUCUCGUAUUGAAGUGUUAUAGCCUUCGGUACAUGUGAUGAACGAGAUUGAGGAUUGCAACGGAUACCCUUCGGGCUACCUGUCUGGUCUCUGAUUGUUGCUCUGGUGCCGAAAGCUUGCUUACGGUUAUCAAAGUCGAUGGUCAAUAGGUUAGAACGGGUUAAA